rnacentral:rRNA from 1 species
UACAGAGGGCCCGAGCGUUGUUCGGAUUCACUGGGCGUAAAGGGUGCGUAGGCGGCGGGGCAAGUCUGAUGUGAAAUCCCGGGGCUCAACCUCGGAACUGCAUUGGAUACUGCCUUGCUCGAGUACUGGAGAGGGAACUGGAAUUUACGGUGUAGCAGUGAAAUGCGUAGAGAUCGGAAGGAAGGCCAGUGGCGAAGGCGAGUUCCUGGACAGUUACUGACGCUGAGGCACGAAGGCCAGGGGAGCAAACGGG